GUCCACGCCGUAAACGAUGAUAACUAGCUGUCCGGGUUCAUAGAACUUGGGUGGCGCAGCUAACGCAUUAAGUUAUCCGCCUGGGGAGUACGGUCGCAAGAUUAAAACUCAAAGGAAUUGACGGGGGCCUGCACAAGCGGUGGAGCAUGUGGUUUAAUUCGAAGCAACGCGCAGAACCUUACCAGCCUUUGACAUCCUCUGACGAAUCAGGAGACUGAUUUUUCCUUCGGGACAGAGUGACAGGUGCUGCAUGGCUGUCGU
rnacentral:rRNA from 1 species